GACAGUUAGGAUAGCUCAGUCAGUAGAGCACGAGACUCUUAAAUCUCAGGGUUGUGGGUUUGAGCCUCAUGUUGGUCA